rnacentral:rRNA from 1 species
AGAGUUUGAUCCUGGCUCAGGAUGAACGCUGGCGGCGUGCUUAACACAUGCAAGUCGAACGAAGCACUUUAUUUGAUUUCCUUCGGGACUGAUUAUUUUGUGACUGAGUGGCGGACGGGUGAGUAACGCGUGGGCAACCUGCCUUGUACAGGGGGAUAACAGUUGGAAACGGCUGCUAAUACCGCAUAAGCGCACGGCAUCGCAUGAUGCAGCGUGAAAAACUCCGGUGGUAUAAGAUGGACCCGCGUUGGAUUAGCUAGUUGGUGAGGUAACGGCCCACCAAGGCGACGAUCCAUAGCCGACCUGAGAGGGUGACCGGCCACAUUGGGACUGAGACACGGCCCAAACUCCUACGGGAGGCAGCAGUGGGGAAUAUUGCACAAUGGGCGAAAGCCUGAUGCAGCGACGCCGCGUGAGCGAAGAAGUAUUUCGGUAUGUAAAGCUCUAUCAGCAGGGAAGAUAAUGACGGUACCUGACUAAGAAGCACCGGCUAAAUACGUGCCAGCAGCCGCGGUAAUACGUAUGGUGCAAGCGUUAUCCGGAUUUACUGGGUGUAAAGGGAGCGCAGGCGGUGCGGCAAGUCUGAUGUGAAAGCCCGGGGCUCAACCCCGGUACUGCAUUGGAAACUGUCGUACUAGAGUGUCGGAGGGGUAAGCGGAAUUCCUAGUGUAGCGGUGAAAUGCGUAGAUAUUAGGAGGAACACCAGUGGCGAAGGCGGCUUACUGGACGAUAACUGACGCUGAGGCUCGAAAGCGUGGGGAGCAAACAGGAUUAGAUACCCUGGUAGUCCACGCCGUAAAC